GCGCCCGCCCCGCAGCCCGCGCCCGCCCGCCGCAAGUUUGUUCCCCGCCGCUGCGGCCUGCGCGGAGAGAGGAUCGCGCGCGGGGAGGCGCCGAGGGGCAGCAAGAGUGGAGAAAGUGCGGAAAGAAGCAACAGCCGCUCCACCCGCGGGCGGAAAAGUGGCCGGGCGCGGCGGCGGGAUGCGGCGCAGCUAACGGUCCCGGGCGGCCGCCGGAGCCGCUAGGCGCAGAGGCAGGCUAGCACCUGCGCAGUGAGAGAGAGUUCUUGUCACUGGUGACUCAUCGUGCAGUGAGCACAAGGAAGAGCAACGGGAUAGUGUCUCACAAGUGUAGGGCUGGAGCUACAGGAACCAUCCAGGUGCACUGGCUUUGCCUCUGCAUCUUUCUGUGCCACUGUCUCAUUCUGUUUCCGGCUGUGCAUGGAUGUGGAUGGCCCAGAAAGCAUGGAAGGGGAAUAAACUGGACUGAUCUUCCUGUCCACCCUCCACGACUAACAAGGACUCUGGUGAUCUCGGCCCAAAGUGGUGUGAACUUCUCCUGGGACCAUCUGUCCCUCCCAGCAGCUCCAGAGCCACACUGCCUUGGAAGACCCUACAGACAGACUGCUCCACUUUGG
ensembl:processed_transcript